GAUGGCACACGGCUAUGUACCGCUCGACGGUGAACGACACGGUCAACAGUACCGACGUGUUGCCUGCAAAAAGAAAAACAGAAAUAAAGAAAAAAUACAAGAAUUAUUAAGUAAAGUUAUUGAUCUAUGCCUUUUUUAAAUUAAAAGGAUUUAAAAGUAUACAACUACUGGACGUCAUCCGAAGACCACUGCACCGGCGGCCCCGACCAAUUUGCGGACUAUCGAGGCCGAUGGUCGACCGAUCACCAAACACACGGGACCGAUCACGAUACCGAAGUACG